rnacentral:rRNA from 1 species
AGCUCCAAUAGCGUAUAUUAAAGUUGUUGCAGUUAAAAAGCUCGUAGUUGGAUUUCUGGGAGGGUGCCAAUGUCCGCUCGUUCGCGUGUGCAGCGGCGCCCUUCCAUCCUUCUGUUAACGUUUCUUGGUAUUCAGUUACUGGUUUCGGGCUCAGAUAUUUUACCUUGAGAAAAUUAGAGUGUUUCAGGCAGGCUUGCGCCGGAAUACAUUAGCAUGGAAUAAUAGAAUAGGACUUUAGUCUCCUUUGUUGGUUUGAGGGACUGAAGUAAUGAUUAAUAGGGAUAGUUGGGGGCAUUAGUAUUUAAUUGUCAGAGGUGAAAUUCUCGGAUUUGUUAAAGACUAACUUAUGCGAAAGCAUUUGCCAAGGAUGUUUUCA